GACGAACGCUGGCGGCGUGCUUAACACAUGCAAGUCGAACGGAGUGCCUAUAACAGAGGUUUCGACCAAUUGAUUAGGUUACUUAGUGGCGGACUGGUGAGUAACGCGUGAGGAACCUGCCUUUCAGAGGGGGACGAACAGUUGGAACGAUUGCUAAUACCGCAUGAUACAUUCGGGCGGCAUCGCCUGAAUGUCAAAGAUUUUUAUCGCUGAAAGAUGGCCUCGCGUCUGAUUAGAUAGUUGGCGGGGUAACGGCCCACCAAGUCGACGAUCAGUAGCCGGACUGAGAGGUUGACCGGCCACAUUGGGACUGAGAUACGGCCCAGACUCCUACGGGAGGCAGCAGUGGGGAAUAUUGGGCAAUGGACGCAAGUCUGACCCAGCAACGCCGCGUGAAGGAAGAAGGCUUUCGGGUUGUAAACUUCUUUUAAGGGGAGAGCAGAAGACGUACCCCUUGAUAAGCCACGGCUAACUACGUGCCAAGCCGCCGCAGUAAC
rnacentral:rRNA from 1 species